rnacentral:rRNA from 1 species
AAGUGCCUCGCAAGAGGAGCUUGGAGACAGGUGCUGCAUGGCUGUCGUCAGCUCGUGUCGUUGAGAUGUUGGGUUAAGUCCCGCAACGAGCGUCAACCCUUGUCUUUAGUUUGCCAUCAUUUAGUUUGGGCACUCUAAAGAGACUGCCGGUGUCAAACCGGAGGAAGGUGGGGAUGACGUCAAGUCCUCAUGGCCUUUAUGACCAGGGCUACACACGUACUACAAUGGCCGGUACAAAGGGCAGCCACUUAGCGAUAAGGAGCCAAUCCCGUAAAGCCGGUCUCAGUCCGGAUUGGAGUCUGCAACUCGACUCCAUGAAGUUGGAAUCGCUAGUAAUCGUGGAUCAGCACGCCGCGGUGAAUACGUUCCCGGGCCUU